rnacentral:rRNA from 1 species
UAAUUGAAGAGUUUGAUCAUGGCUCAGAUUGAACGCUGGCGGCAGGCCUAACACAUGCAAGUCGAGCGGUAACAUUUCAAAAGCUU